rnacentral:lncRNA from 1 species
GUGCAUGAGCUCCCAGAGGGAGACUCCUUUCUCCUUCACCAUGGUUUCCUUGAAAAUCCGUUGGAUUUGCUCGUCGCUGUAGGCAGGAGCAGCUGUCUGUGCCAGAGGCAGCAAGUGGAAGCCGGAGACAUCGUCCUUCUGGCAGUGCUGGAUGAGCUCAGCGUAGGUCACGCUCUCUUUGCUGUCCGGGAGGCAGAAGACUCUGUGGUCAUCGCUGGGCUUGGAAAGGGCCUUGCUUGUGUCCUCAUCCAGGCAGCCUCGCUGCUGGGCCGACUCGAGGGGGAUGUAGUGGCCACACGCCGGGUCGAUGAUGCCUCCUGUGGCCAUCUGCACCUCCAUGAGCUGCAUGGCCUGCUUGUCCGCGAUCAGGCCCUUCUUCAUCGCCUGGAAAAGGGGGAUCUUCUUGCCCGUGAAAGGGUCCUUGUAGCCCGUCACGGCCCCUUCCGCGUGCUGCAGCUUCUCGUGGACGUCUGGCCCGAUGACUCCCUCCCUGACGGCCUCAUCCACGCGGAGCUUCUGGUUGUUCACAGGGUCAAUAAUGAAGCCUGUGGCAGCCUGGGCCUCCAGCAGGGGCAGGGCUACUCCUGGCACCACGAUGUUCUGCUUCAUGGCCUCAUAAAUGCUCAUUCUCUGGUUGGAUGGCUGGAGCACAAUCCCGCCAAUGCUGCCCGAGCCGUAGAGGUACUUCCUGACGGAGUCCAUGCGCAGGACUUGUUCUGGGGUGACGGACCCCUCCAGCACCUGCUCCAACAGGGCCCUGUCGAUGACGCCGGUUUCCAUCAGGUGAUAAGCGCUGACAUUGCCUCUCAUGGCUGGGAACUUGAUGGGGGCCCAUUUCUUCAUUUCCUCCUCCAGCAUGAGUCGGAUUUGCUCCAGGCUGAGCUUCUUCAGCUGGAAGUGGUUGAAAAUCUCCCGGCGCCUCCCCUCGCUGAAGUACUCGGAGUUCAGCAGGUCCCACACGGAGACCUUCUCCCCCCGCAAGCGCCCAAACCUGACGGGCAGCCAGGAGCUCCUGAACACCUGCCUGGUGGCCUCAUCGAUGAACUGCCGCUUCCUGCUGUUCAGAGGGAGCAGGCAGAGCCCGGUGGAGGGCUCCGUGAUGCAUUUCUCCUUCAGCUGCAGGUACGUCAGGUUCUCGUGGGUGUUGGGGUCGAAGAAGCCCUUGGUGUCAUCACUGGGGUCGGAGAGGAUCAAAUUCAUCUUCUUGUCGAAGUAGCCGCGCUUGUAGGCCACCUCCACGGGGAUGCGGUGGCUGUGCACGGGGUCGAUGAUGCCGCCCGUGGCGAUCUGGGCCUCCAGCAGGCGGAUGCCGUGGUCCCUGACGAUCAGCUCCUUCUGCAUGGCCUGGAACAGGGAGAUUUUGUCACCUGUGUACGGAUCUCUGUAGCCGGUGACAGAUUUCUCUGCAGCCAGCAGCUUGUCGUAAACGUCUGGGCCAAUGAUGUUGGCUCGUAA